AAAAAUAUAUAAAAUUUAGUAAUUAAUUUUCUUUAAACAUUUUUAAUAAUUUUUAAUAAAUACCACUAAUAUAUCAUAUUUUUAUUUCUAAAAUAACAUCUAUAUCCAUUAAAUAAAAUUUAUAAACAUUUUUUUAAUAAUAAAUUCAAAUAAAUUUAUAUGUUUAUUAUCAUCCAGAAAACUUCUAGAAAACAUUCUAAAAAACAUUAUAUGUUUAAUCUUAUUGAUUUUU
rnacentral:tRNA from 1 species